rnacentral:pre_miRNA from 1 species
AGCACUAUUGCUGGGUCAUAUGGUAAGAGUAUUUUUAGCUUUUUAAGAAACUGCCAGACUAUCUUCCAAAGUAGCCAAACCGUCUUGUAUUCCCACUGGCAAU